rnacentral:rRNA from 1 species
AGGUCCAGCCUGCCCAGUGACAUAGUUAAACGGCCGCGGUAUUCUGACCGUGCGAAGGUAGCAUAAUCACUUGUUCUUUAAAUAAGGACUAGUAUCAACGGCAUCACGAGGGUUAUACUGUCUCCUCUUUCCAAUCAGUGAAACUGAUCUCCCCGUGAAGAAGCGGGGAUAAACCUAUAAGACGAGAAGACCCCAUGGAGCUUUAAACUCAACAACAACUCCCUAUACAAAGUACUAAAUAUUAUGGAAGCCCUGUCUGUUAGUUUUGGGUUGGGGUGACCGCGGAGAAAAACUAAACCUCCACGACGAACGGAAUUAACUCCUAAUCUAAGAGCAACUACUCUAAGAAUCAAUAAAUUGACAUAAACUGAUCCGAUAAUCGAUCAACGAACCAAGUUACCCUGGGGAUAACAGCGCAAUCCAUUUCAAGAGCCCCUAUCGACAAAUGGGUUUACGACCUCGAUGUUGGAUCAGGUAUCCCAGUGGUGCAGCCGCUACUAAAGGUUU